rnacentral:rRNA from 1 species
GGCGGACGGGUGAGUAACGCGUAAGGAACUUGCCCUGCAGUCAGGGAUAACAGACGGAAACGACUGAUAAAACCUGAUAAAGUCAGACGGACUCAUGUCCAGUCUGAUGAAAAGAAAUGCUGCAGGAGAGCCUUGCGCCCUAUUAGCUUGUUGGUGGGGUAACGGCCCACCAAGGCAAUGAUAGGUAGCCGGCCUGAGAGGGUGGACGGCCGCAAGGGGACUGAGAUACGGCCCUUACUCCUACGGGAGGCAGCAGUGGGGAAUAUUGGACAAUGGGGGCAACCCUGAUCCAGCAAUUCUGUGUGCACGAAGAAGGUUUUCGGAUUGUAAAGUGCUUUCAGCAGGGAAGAAAAAAAUGACGGUACCUGCAGAAGAAGCGACGGCUAAAUACGUGCCAGCAGCCGCGGUAAUACGUAUGUCGCAAGCGUUAUCCGGAAUUAUUGGGCAUAAAGGGCAUCUAGGCGGCCAGAUAAGUCUGGGGUGAAAACUUGCGGCUCAACCGCAAGCCUGCCCUGGAAACUAUGUGGCUAGAGUACUGGAGAGGUGGACGGAACUGCACGAGUAGAGGUGAAAUUCGUAGAUAUGUGCAGGAAUGCCGAUGAUGAAGAUAGUUCACUGGACGGUAACUGACGCUGAAGUGCGAAAGC